AUUGAACGCUGGCGGAAUGCUUUACACAUGCAAGUCGAGCGGCAGCGCGGGGGCAACCCUGGCGGCGAGCGGCGAACGGGUGAGUAACACAUCGGAACGUACCCAGUGGUGGGGGAUAGCCCGGCGAAAGCCGGAUUAAUACCGCAUACGACCUGAGGGGGAAAGUGGGGGACCGCAAGGCCUCACGCCGCUGGAGCGGCCGAUGUUCGAUUAGCUAGUUGGUGGGGUAAAGGCCUACCAAGGCGACGAUCGAUAGCUGGUCUGAGAGGACGACCAGCCACACUGGAACUGAGACACGGUCCAGACUCCUACGGGAGGCAGCAGUGGGGAAUUUUGGACAAUGGGGGCAACCCUGAUCCAGCCAUGCCGCGUGAGUGAAGAAGGCCU
rnacentral:rRNA from 1 species